CAAGUUUCAAAAGUUGUCUUCUUUUUUCUUAAACUCCGUGCCGAGUCAAACUACCUCAAAUAAUAUGAAACGGAGGGGGUAGUUACUAACAGAAGAUGUUUUAGAAAUCAAAUCAUGAACAAGUAGUGCCUUUGGUCUGUUGUUUUGUAUGGUUUAUCUUCAUGAAUUUAAUUUCGUUGAGGGAGUGAGAUAUAUCGUUCCUGGAUGCACAGAUUCUAAAUAUGCUCUGAGUAGUAGGUGGUCUUUAAUGCGUAGGAUGAAAAUGUGCUUUCGUGCUAGUGAAAAUAUGGUUGUUCAAACUUAUAAUCCCAUUUAGUGUUUAAAUUGCAGAUACAACUAAAGAUUAAAUAGAUUCUCUAAACUAUAUCAGAAUUUGAAAUGUUGGGCCCGUGCUAUGUACGGGCAAACAUCAUCUAGUAUAUAUAGAAGAGGCAAGAAUGGUCGACCAAGGGCAGAAUUGCCAUUUUACUCUGCCAUUUUAUUUUAUUUUCUAUACAUUCAAGUGCCGUCACAGCUCCAAGAGGGGUUUGCUUUCUACCCAAAACACUGUGAUAUAAUUCGAUUCUAGAACACUCAUCUGAUUUCAUAAACUUAAUUUUCUCCACCUUCACACUUCAAACUACUACUUCUCUCUCAGUUAAUUUCAUCUUCUAGCUGGAUCUCUUAAUUUCUGGUAAGCUUUCCCUUAAUUUUUUCUUUAAUCUUUUCUCGCUUUUGCUUGUUUGAAUCGCUUAUUUUCCCUUGAUGUUGCUUAUUGUGCUUCCUAAUGAAAUCUUAUGUGUAAAUUCAAAGGCAACCCAAAGCCACCUACUGCUCUACCAUCUUUCUACUCCUUUGAUAGAGCUUGAGUGUAUGUUGCAGCUUGCGGAUGUAUCAGAGCCGCCUUUUCUUUCGUUUAAUCUCAGGAGAUCUCAUCCAUUGAGAUCGAGUCCGAUAAAUGAACGUGGCGUUUGUUUUUGCAACAACUGCAGAUAAUACUAAGAUGUUGACUAAGAAUUUUAAUUGAGGCAUGGGUUGGAGUUUCAUAAGAUCAUGAGCUCAAAUAGUGUUGCUUUUUUCUUACUCUCACAAUCAUCAUGCAUGGCUCACUGCAUUGCUCUCGGUGGAAGGCUUUGAGUUUUGCAGCUCUCCGAGGGAGUUCAACGUUAUUUUUUAAUGUCGAAAAACCAAAAAUUGAUGUCUUGUAGUGGGCUGGAGCACGUAUAGAAUGAGCGAACUGGAAGGGGACUGUCAAAGAAUGGGAAGGUUCAAAAACUUGCUCUGCAACAUUGGCUAGAAGUUGGGCAUUGUCCGAAAUCUUUUUUAUAUCCUUCAUCCUAAGUAGCAUUAAGCUUCUAUAUCUUAUGUUACACGGACUCUCCAAAUCUGUUGCCGCACCCAUGUCGGAUCAUCCAAAGACUAUAUUUGGAGGAUCCGACAUGCACCCUUCGGCUUUUUUGAAAAGUCCGAGCGACAUAGUUUAUAUCUAUUCAUCCAUGUCGCUGCCUACUGAAGUUACUAUUUAUUGGAGUUAUAUGGCAUUGAAUUGUCAGAGAUGACAUCUUCUUAUAUUAGUACUUCUUUUUGAAGGUUGUAUGUUGGAGAUGGGAAAGAAAUACAUCUUGAAGUGCAAUAGAUGUACAUGAAAACGAUAAUAAGGUUGUCUUUUAGAAAAAUGGGGGAAAUUACUAGAAAACAUACUAGGAAAACAAUCUGUAGAAUAAGUUGAUGUACCAUAUUUGUUGGUAACCUGGAUUCUAGACUCUCGCUUAAGAUACUUUAUAUCGUUAUAGUUGAAUUGGCUAUCAUUGGGUUAUAUUUGUUAAGUUUCGUUUUACUUCGUA